rnacentral:rRNA from 1 species
UACGGAGGGUGCGAGCGUUCUCCGGAAUUACUGGGUUUAAAGGGUGCGUAGGCGGCUAUGUAAGUCAGGAGUGAAAGUUUGCGGCUCAACCGUAAAAUUGCUUUUGAUACUGCAUGGCUAGAAUUAGGUUGAGGUUAGCGGAAUGUGGCAUGUAGCGGUGAAAUGCAUAGAUAUGCCAUAGAACACCAAUUGCGAAGGCAGCUGGCUAGACCUUUAUUGACGCUGAGGCACGAAAGCGUGGGGAGCGAACAGG